AUAAUGAAUAUGUUAACAAGGUAUUUUUUGUAUAGAAAUUAAUGAGUAUUCCAGGUUUGCUGUGAGUCACUCUGAAUGAUUUCCCUAAUGAUUCACUGCUGCUGUAACAUAGGCAUUGAUUAAUUGUCAUAACUCCAAGUCAAUGAGCACUGAAGAAUGAACAACUGUGGAAAACAUAAAUGAUCACAGCUCAAAGUUCCCAAAAAUAGAAGAGCUUGAAAACAUAAUGGUCACCUCACUUCUAAAUAAAUUACCAAAAUACUUCUGUCUCUGAAAAGCAACCAAAGGGAAGCGGAUUAGAGAGUAUCAGCUACAAGGGUGGAUGGGGUUUUGUCGUAGACCAUCACUGAGAGUUAUAAUCAGAUUUAAAGUAUCUUGCAGCGGUGGGUCUUGCUCCUUGGGGCUCAAGACUGGCCGCUUUUCGAUAACUCAAGGACGCGGCCUAGAAGACGGCUAUGCCUUCGGGGUUUCGAGACUUCACAGGCCUGUGGACAACUCUACACUGGUGCUGCUGACUGAAGCAUUGCGGGAGAAAACAGAACAUCGGAUUGGCUAUUGGGGUCCCUGUACUCCGUGAAUUGUUCACAUUCUCUCUCUUGCUAGUGGGGGAGAGUUUGUUGCCAAUUCUGGAGUCGGUGAACUCGAGGAAAAAGAAGUGAAUUGGAUGACUUUAUCAUUGCAAAUCAAUACCUAAACAGAAGAAUUAGCGACAUUUACUUCAACCAUGACCUCAUUCCAUUGUCUGUCUGUCUUUAGAAGUAAGGUAUCCAGAUGUUCCCCUCAAUAUUGAAGUUUGCAGUUGGGUAAAUGGACUCAGAAUGGAAACACAUUUAAUUCACAGGUAUUGGCUGAUCCAGAAGAAAUUUUGCCAAAAUACGGAAUGUAUGAGUUAUGGUUGAGUAUGGAAGAAUACAAAAGCAACUCCCAACUUUGAAACUAUUCAAGAACUUAGUCAAACAACGUCUGGUUCUUCACUGUCGAACAUCGGUUUAGAUGUUAGCAAACACGGCCUGGCAAAGAUUUCCGGUGUGUAAUAGCUGCUUCAAAGAGCUGGAAACCGAGCCAGAAAACAAUUCUAGUAAUGCAAGGCAAGUGACUGCCAAUUAACAUAACAGAUUUUUCAUUUUCUUCUUCAGAGCACAUCCGAAUUCCAUUAUUGCUUUAUUGCAUCUUUAUUUCCUUUUAAUUGAGAAAUUUUAUUUCCCAGUCAGUUAUGUACUUAAAGAAGGAUUUAAGGGAGAUUGACCAAGCAGUAAUCUCUACUUCAUAUAUCUACCAAAGCCAAGAUGUAAUAUUUAACGCAAGGCAAAGCAUUCUGCUAAUGAAAAAUUAAUAUUCAUUUUCCACUUUGUUGGAGAUAAUUGUUGUAUUAAUAGCAGGUUCUGUCUUUUGCACAUGCAU